rnacentral:misc_RNA from 1 species
CUGUAUAAAAUACAUAUGCCACAUUGCGUGAAAUAUAUAUAUGUGCACGUUCACACGUGUUGUAUACUAUGUUAACGCAUAUGACGGUUCCGUGAUAUGUUACACGCUUGGUCGUAUAUCUAUAUUGCGGUCCGUUUAAAUAUUGUCUGACGACGCACGUUGAUUAUAAUUUAUAUAUCAUACGACAAUGUUAGAGAUUAUCAUAAUAUUUGUCGAACGAUCGACGGUGUUACCGCUGAUGCGCUUCGCGGCGUAAGGCGGGACGCUUUCGACUCUUCGAGUUGUAGUGUUACGUAACAGUAUCGCACAUACGAGAGGGUUGAUGGCGUGUGCGUGUUUUCUAAACAAGUUCAACGCCGUUCACAUGUCGCGAGACACAUGGAUAUUAUCAAUCUCUAUAUAACAAUUGACGUAUACACAAUGAUAUAUAAGAAGUAAAUCAUCGACAGUAGGCGGACUCGACGUCCGAAGAGCGCGUCGACGCCGUAGUCGUUAUCGAUCGUUAUUAUUGUAAUAAAUGUAACGUGUCGUAGCGGUUGCGUCGUCGUAACGCUGACGGAUAUCGCGUCUGCCUCAUAUUUUUAUCGUUGGCCUCAGAUCAGGGAGGAUCACCCGCCGAAUUUAAGCAUAUUAGUAAGCGGAGGAAAAUCCCGCCGUUGUUCAGGCGGCGGGAGAUGUGGUGUUCGGGAGGUUCCGCUUUCUCGUCGCGAUCGCUCCUGUCCAAGUUCGUCUUGAACGGGGCCGUUUUCCCGUAGAGGGUGCCAGGCCCGUAGCGACGGAGGAUCGCGGCGAGAGGGACUCUCCUUAGAGUCGGGUUGCUUGAGAGUGCAGCCCUAAGUGGGUGGUAA